rnacentral:sRNA from 1 species
GCUGGGUGCAGUGAUAUGUGCCUGUAAUCCAAGUCACUAUGGAGGCUGAGAUUGGAGGAUCACGAAUUCAAGGCUAUCCUGGGCAACAAGUGAGACCCCAUCUCAA